GGUAAGAUAUGCAAAUGGUUAACGCUGACAGUCUGUAAAACUGUUGCCUUAUGGCUUUGUAGGUUCGAAUCCUACUCUUACCA
rnacentral:tRNA from 1 species